rnacentral:rRNA from 1 species
UACGUAGGGGGCAAGCGUUGUCCGGAUUUAUUGGGCGUAAAGAGCGUGUAGGCGGCCUGACAGGUCUGCUGUGAAAACUCGAGGCUCAACCUCGAGAUGUCGGCGGAAACCGUCUGGCUAGAGUCCGGAAGAGGAGAGUGGAAUUCCUGGUGUAGCGGUGAAAUGCGCAGAUAUCAGGAAGAACACCUAUGGCGAAGGCAGCUCUCUGGGACGGUAC